CCGGGGCAGAAAAAGCAGAACAGAGUCUCACAGGAAAUGUCCCUCAUAUUUUGGAGGAAGGACAACUUCAGGGAACAUUUCCUGACAGAGCUGUGCUGGGGAGUGGUCCAGGAAAUUUAUUCUAGUCUGACCUUGUUUUACCAAGAGACUGCUAGAGGUGAAGUGAUAAAGUUUCUUCAUCUAUGAUUUCUUCCACCUCUAAUGUGGAUGGAUUCCAGGAAACCCAGAAACAAUAACUAACAAGAUCUGAGCAGAGGAAGGAGAGGAAUGGCAAAUAAAUGUUUUCCAGUGUGGGGUCAGGAGGAUAUUGGAUCUUCCAAUGUGCUCAACAAAUGGGUUUAAUAAUGCACAUUUCAGUAUAAAACAGUUCACAACAGAAAUAUUUGCUACUCAGCCCAUUUAUCCUGGGAAUUACACAACAUGGACCAUUUUCAAUAACUCUUUUCAUAAUAAUGAUUUCCUCCUGCUCAAGCAACAGAGAUGUAUAAACCGUUUUGGUCUAGAAAUGUAAUGUCGAGAUACGAAUGUAUUAAAGAAUAAUUAAAAUACAAUCAUUU